UUGGGUUGGCCAAAAAGUUCAUUUGGGUUUUUCUGUAACAUCUUAUGGAAAACCCAAAUGAACUUUUUGCUCAACCCAAU
rnacentral:miRNA from 1 species